rnacentral:rRNA from 1 species
AGUGAACGCUGGCGGCAGGCCUAACACAUGCAAGUCGAGCGGCAGCGGGUUCCCGCGAGGGGAUGCCGGCGAGCGGCGGACGGGUGAGGAACACAUCGGAAUCUGCCUGGUUGUGGGGGAUAACGUAGGGAAACUUACGCUAAUACCGCAUGCGACCCUGAGUCGACGGACUGGGGGUGAAAGUGAGGGACCUUCGGGCCUCACGCGACCAGAUGAGCCGAUGUCGGAUUAGCUAGUUGGCGGGGUAACGGCCCGCCAAGGCGACGAUCCGUAGCUGGUCUGAGAGGAUGAUCAGCCACACUGGGACUGAGACACGGCCCAGACUCCUACGGGAGGCAGCAGUGGGGGAAUCUUGGACAAUGGGCGCAAGCCUGAUCC